rnacentral:rRNA from 1 species
AUUGAACGCUGGCGGCAGGCUUAACACAUGCAAGUCGAGCGGAGAUGAGGUGCUUGCACCUUAUCUUAGCGGCGGACGGGUGAGUAAUGCUUAGGAAUCUGCCUAUUAGUGGGGGACAACAUUCCGAAAGGAAUGCUAAUACCGCAUACGUCCUACGGGAGAAAGCAGGGGAUCUUCGGACCUUGCGCUAAUAGAUGAGCCUAAGUCGGAUUAGCUAGUUGGUGGGGUAAAGGCCUACCAAGGCGACGAUCUGUAGCGGGUCUGAGAGGAUGAUCCGCCACACUGGGACUGAGACACGGCCCAGACUCCUACGGGAGGCAGCAGUGGGGAAUAUUGGACAAUGGGGGGAACCCUGAUCUAGCCAUGCUGCGUGUGUGAAGAAGGCCUUAUGGUUGUAAAGCACUUUAAGCGAGGAGGAGGCUACUGAGACUAAUACUCUUGGAUAGUGGACGUUACUCGCAGAAUAAGCACCGGCUAACUCUGUGCCAGCCGCCGCGGUAAGAC